UAACACCUGGCAGGUGACAUACCAUGAUCACGAAGGUGGUUUUCCCAGGGCAAGGCUUAUCUAUUGCACUCUUGAUGUGCUGACCCCUGCAAUAUCCCCAGAUGUGGGAAACUUGACUGCAUAAUUUGUGGUAGUAGGGGACUGUGUUUACUGUUUCCCCUG
ensembl:snRNA U1 U1 spliceosomal RNA